UCUAAAUGAGCCCUUAUAGCUAACCAAAGGACAAAAUUCAACAUUUUUUCGAUAAUUAUUGAUCUAGUGAGUCCAAAGAAUAUUACUGCAGUGGUUUGGUUCCGAUCGGGCGAAAAACCUAGGACAAGUUCACAAAAGUAUGUUUUUGACAUAUUUGUGAAUGUUUAAUGAACGAUUUGAUUGACAGCUUCACCCCCAGAGGCAAAGUUGUUCGCAAUGAGGAGAUCUAUCAUAUGAUCUGAAGGUCUAGUGUUUGUGUGAAUGUAUGAACAUGUUCUACAAAUGGUGGUCAUUGUCUAUUAAAAUUUUGUGUUUUUGAGGCUUUUUCAACUGUUAUAGCGCCACCUAUAGACCAAUCUCCAUAAAACUUUGCAUACUUGUUAAGAGUCAUCUACCACAUGUUUUCACUAAGUUUCAUAAAGUUUUGACUAUUUGUUUUGGUUUUAUAAGAUUUGGGGUAUGUUUGGCCACUCCCAUUUUCUAAAUCACCCCUAUAAAGCUAAGAAAAGGACAAAAUUCAAAAUUUUUUCGAUAAUUAUGGAUCUAGACAGUCCACAGAAUAUUACAGCAGUGGUUUGGUUCCGAUCGGGCGAAAAACCUAGGACUAGUUCGCAAAAGUAUGUUUUUAACAUAUUUGUGAAUAAUUAAUGAACAAUUUGAUUGACAGUAAUGGUUCUUGAGGCAAAGUUGUGCAUUAUGAGGAGAUCUAUCAAAUGAUGUCCAUAUUUCGUGGAUAUGUGAAACACCAUGUGAUUACAGAGCCAAAAAACUCGUUAGCGCCAACUAGUGGCCGAUUUCUUUCAAAAUUCUUACAGACCUUUAGGGCCAUGAGUCGAACAUGCCCACCAAGUUUCGUUCCGAUUGACCUCCGUUAACCUUGUCUAAUAGUUGCUUAAAAUUAAUUGGCCAAUGGCGGCCAUGUUUUUUGAGAUACGCGAAUGUCCUCAUAGACGAUUGUGCCCCUUCAGACAAAGAAACUGCAUUCCAAUUUUCAAGUCGAUCGGACUAAUGGUUGAAUAGUUAUAGCCAUUUAUGUGUUUUUUCUGUCUUAUAGCGCCCCCAAGUGGUAGAGGUGCGCAUUUUUUUUUAUUUGACCAAAGAUUGAGCUUAUACACAUUUGUCCCGAGUUUGAUGAAGAUAUGUCAUUCCGUUCAAGAGUUAUAGCUAAAAUAACAUUUGGCUAACGUUAGCAUAGACGCUUCUUGGUGUACUGUUUCGCGUAAGAAUCGAAAUUUCAACUUUUUUUCGAUAAUUAUUGAUAUUGAGUGUCCAGAGAAUAUUUCUGCAGUGGUUUGGUUCUGAUCGGGUGAAAAACCUAGGACUAGUUCGCAAAAGUAGGUUUCAGAUAUAACUCAAUUUUGCGAGAAAACGAUGCGCCGUAGAGCGAAAAAACCAGCAGAGCAAUUUUGUUCGGGCUAACCCAAGGAUUGCAACGAUGCCAUGUUUUUGAGUCUACGACAAACGGUUUACGAGCUACGGCCAAAAAUGUCUGAAAAUUUAGUUUUUUGCGCUGUAGCGCCCCCGUUAGGCCGAUUGGGCCUGUUCUUUGCGCCUGAGUAGCGAGCAAGACUACUACCUUUUGACCAAGUUUCAGCUCUCUAGGCCUUACGGUUUGGUCUGCCCGUUCAGUUUUAGGGCGGAAGAAUAAUAAUAAUAAUAAUAAUAAUAAUAAUAAUAAUAAUAAUAAUAAUAAUAAAAAUCCUAACAAUUACAAUAGGGUUUCAGCACUUCGUGCUCGAACCCCUAAUAAUA
ensembl:lncRNA